CACCUCUAGCAUUACUAGUAUUAGAGGCACUGCCUGCCCAGUGACACACGUUUAACGGCCGCGGUACCCUGACCGUGCAAAGGUAGCAUAAUCACUUGUUCUUUAAAUGGGGACUCGCAUGAAAGGCACCACGAGGGUUUAACUGUCUCUUACUUUUAACCGGUGAAAUUGACCUGCCCGCGAAGAGGCGGGCAUAAAAUAAUAAGACGAGAAGACCCUAUGGAGCUUUAAUCUAUUAAUGCAAUCAAAAACUACACAAACCCACGGACCUUUAAACUACCGACACCUGCAUUAAAAAUUUUGGUUGGGGCGACCUCGGAGCACAACAAAACCUCCGAAUAACACAUGCUAAGACCACACAAGUCAAAGCGAACUAAUACUUACAAUUGAUCCAAUAAUUUGAUCAACGGAACAAGUUACCCUAGGGAUAACAGCGCAAUUCUAUUCUAGAGUCCAUAUCGACAAUAGAGCUUACGACCUCGAUGUUGGAUCAGGACAUCCUAAUGGUGCAGCAGCUAUCAAGGGUUCGUUUGUUCAACGAUUAAAGUCCU
rnacentral:rRNA from 1 species